ACAGGCUGAGCAGGAGCAUGAAGCAGAAGACAAAGGGAAGAAGGACAGAUCACUGCAGAAGGAUCAUGCAGCGCCCUGAGUAAAUAUCUCACAGGCUUGCCCCUGACCAGGGACUCCUGAGAAGCACAGGAAAUUAUUCUGAGGCUGAACACUGCCAAUACAGCUCCUAGCAACUCUUACAGAAUAUUUGAUGGUAAGAAGAGAA